GUAAGCAUCAGGCUGGAGAUUCAGGUUGAUUCUAAGGAAGCCAACAGCCGUGUUGUGAGUACCCAAUGGAAAGUCUGUUGUGGCAGAAAACUGAUGUCUCCAGCCAACAGCACUGAGGCCCUGAGACCUGCCAACUGUCAUGAUCUUCCGAUGCCUGGACACAGAAAGAGCAGUGGAAGGGGUCGUUGCAUGAGCAAAGACAAAGAGUGGGACACUGACUGUUACAUCUCAAGGAGAAGGAUUGCCAGAUCAAAAGUCUUGCAGUUAACCAGGCGUGGUGGCAGAUACCUGUAAUCCCAGCUAUUCGGGAGGCUGAGGCAGGAGAAUCGCUUGUACCCGGGAGGCAGAGGUUGCAGUGAGCUGAGACCGCGCCAUUGACUCCUGCCUGAUGACAAGAGAGAAUCUACGUCUCAACAACAACAACACGCUUGGGCACUGUAUUAACUCCAUAAUCAUCUAAAUUUUAUUGGGAACAGCUAGUUUGACAAGCAUAGACCAGAUGUCCAGUUGUCAUUCAUUCAGCAGGAGCAGCAAGAUUCAAUCAUGUUUUUAUUAUAUUAUUUCCUGAAACUUGUGGCUGUAACAAUGAAGUUUGAGGUAGGUACUGUUCACCAAAACAUAGAAGAGAUUCCAAUUGAUGCUCACUACUAAUUAGUGUUCAUUAAAGCAUAACAUACCCUAGAUUGUUUCUCUUGGAUUACUUAUCUGUACUUGUGUAUUCAUUCAUUUGUUCAUUCAUUCACUCAUCCAUCCAACUAUCUAUCUGUCCAUCCAUUUAUUCAUUUUCAAACUAAGUUUUAGGGCUGGCACUGUGAUAAAUGCUAUUCACAGUCAUUAAUCAAUAGUUAUAGUUAUUAUUUAAAAGUGUAUAGAAUAGCAGAAGGUGGAGACAUUUUCAUAUAAGUUAGAAAGUGCUAUAAUUAUCUCUUGGUUUAUGUGUUAUAACUGAGACAGCACAAAGAACAGCUUAUUAACUUUGUCUAAUAAAGUGUAGGUAGUAGUAAAAUUUAAGCUGAGUCUUAGAGAAUAUAUAUGGAUUUUUUAAAGGAAGAAAAACAAUAGCAUAUGCAAAACCUUAAAAGGAAGGAAGGGCUUUAUGAGUUUUGGAAAUAAGGAAAAGAAAAGGAUGAUGAGUUUGGAAGAAUGGUGGGAAACAGGCAUAGAGAGGUGGAUUGAUUUCUGGUUAUGCAGACCUUACUGUAGCAUGUUAAGGAGUUAUAUUUUAUCAAUGAUUCAAUACCUUAUUAAGAGGAAGGAUUUGAUUAGAUUAGUGUUUUAGAAAAAUUAAUUUGCUAGUCAUGAGGGUGAACUACAGUGGGGUAAGAUGAAAGCAGGACAACCAAAUAGGUGGCUUUUAUAAAAGCUUAGGAAACAGAUAGAAAAGCCCAGACUAAGGAAAAUGUAGUAUUGCACUUAAUUUCUCUUAGUCAUUAGGUUUUUCAACAUAAACCAAACCAAAACAAAAUCAUUGCAAAGAAUAGAGCUCUGUUCUUAUAAAGUGUUUCCCUUCAGUUGUGGUCUAAUUAAUUAAUUGUUCCUGAAGUUUAAUUAAAUAGUCAUGGAUAUUUUUAUAAAGGAUGUGGAACAACCAAUUAAAAUAUUCAUCUUGGCCUUUCAAAAUUAAUUAUCCCUUAAAUGCCACAGUCUAACCUAUAUCACAGAUAUUUAAGCAUAAGGGGAAAAAUGUUUGGAUUUGAGUGAAUCAUAGUAUUUAGUCUAUCAUAUUCUCAUAGGGAAAAUGAAAGGUAAUUUGAGAUAUACUACAGAUCAGUGCUAUUCAAUAAAACUAUUGGUGACGAUGGAGGUGUUCUCUGUCGUUACUGUCCAACAUGGCAGUUCUAGCCAUAUGUGGCUAUUGAGCACUUAAAAUGUGCCUAGUACAAUGGGGGACAUGAAUUCUUGAUGUUUUUAAAAUUGUAUUUAAUACAUACAAACUUAAACUGAAAUUUAAAUAAUCACAUGUACCCUAGUGGCUACCUUGUUGAACAGCACAACUCUAUAGACAGUGAAAAAUAUGCAGACUCAGUUGGACAAUCCUGCAAUGUGUGGCUAUAAAGAAGGCAGUGCAGGGCAGAAGAUAUAAAGUAGGGCAGGGGCUCAGGAUGGAAUUUUAUUUCAGCGCAGAUAAUUAAUGAGCUGCAGAUAUGAAUUUGCACAUAAACGUAAGUUCUCUCACUUGUACUAUGAAGUGAUUGGCUGAAUAAUCAUGACUAUCCAUUUAAGCUUCAUGUUUCUAUAGAAGUAAGUGAUUGUCACAGUUCAGCUGAAUAAGAUCUUGUUGGAGAAAAUGGCUUAUUUUCCACACUUUUCUUCAUUUUUAUAAAACUGGUCUAGGUGUAAAUUUGAGAUGCAAAAGUCAAGGAUAUAUAUUUUGAGUAAGUUGAAAAUGCAAAAGCAAAUAUGUACAUUUGCUGAAAGCUAUUUGUUUUCAAUCUAGUAAUUUAUAUACGCCUUACUUUGUAAUUUUCACUUAGUGUCUUUCUUUUACUACAUGUUACCUUCUAUGAUAGGCAGCCUCAAUAUGACUUUCAAUUAUCAUCACUUCCUGAAAUUCAUACCCUUGUUUUGUCUUCUUCCACACAGGAUUGGUCUGUGUAAGUAUGGCAGAAGUGAUGUUAAGUCGCUUAUGAGAUUAGGGUAUAAAAGACUAAGGCUUCCAUGCUUCCAUCUUGGUCUCUGUCUCUCAGAGAACAGUCAUGUGAAUGAUUCUUCUUGAAAGUAAAUCUUCCAGCCCCAGUCCAGUAUUCAAAUGAUCCAGCAACAUUGCAACUUAUGAGAGACCUUGAGCCAUCCAGGUAACAUGCUUCCAAAUCCUGACCCUUAAAACCUGUAAAAUAAUAAAUGUGGUUUUAAACUCUUAAGUAAUUUGUUACAUAGUAAUAAAUAGCUAAUACACCGUCCUGACUAUUGUCAUUCUUUACAAUAUUUCAUAAGCACUAGUCAUUAAACUAUCUGUAGUCCCUAAAAUAUUUAUCAAUCCUUUAAGCCUCUAUAAGUUCACAGAUUUUUAUGUGUAGAUAUUUAUUCCUCUGUCAAAUAUCUAAUGCAAUAUUUUCUCUUUCAAAUUUGGCUAGUGUCCUUUCUAGAGAAUUUUAUGACCUCACCAAUCUGAAUUAAGCACCAUCGCCAUUCCUGGUUUCAUAGAAGCAGAUGCCCAUGUCUAACUUAGCACUAGUCACACUGUUAUGUUCACAAGAUUGUAAGCUACUAAGAUUGGGACCUUAGUUUUAUUAAGUUUACAUAAUGUCAGAUACAUUGCCUAGCAAAAAAGAACUUGCUUAAUUAUUGUUUUUUAAAAUUAAAUACUAACAGAAUGAAUGGUUAAACACCAUUAAAUAAAUAUGUUAGUUCAGAUUAUAUAUUGAUGUAUGGUCAUUAGUUUCCUACAAAAGAGAAAUUUCAUGUUUUUCUAUCUAAAUGUAUAAUGCUCCCUCCAGCCCUACAGACAUACUAUUUUUUUCAAAAGAAUAAAGAGACAUGAACAAUAUAAAUUCAAACUGCAAGACGGUUGUGUCACAUUUCCUGGACUAUGUUGUAGCCUCCGUUUUGUAGCUGCACCUCCAGGAUAACUUGUGAAUCCUUAGGGUCAUGGAAAGAAGCCCAGUAAGUGGAUUUCUUUCUGAACAGGGCUGUCUUUGUUUCAUCAUGGAGCACCUUGUCCUCUUCAUCCAGCAUUAUGAUUUGCUCUUGGCCUUUCUCUGGGACACAAUAUGUGGCUCAUAGUUCUGAAUUAGAGGAG
rnacentral:lncRNA from 1 species